rnacentral:rRNA from 1 species
UACGAAGGACCCGAGCGUUAUCCGGAUUUAUUGGGUUUAAAGGGUGCGUAGGCGGACUUAUAAGUCAGUGGUGAAAUCCCCAGGCUUAACCUGGGAACUGCCAUUGAAACUAUUUGUCUUGAGUACAUUUGAGGCGGGCGGAAUGUGUCAUGUAGAGGUGAAAUUCUUAGAUAUGACACAGAACACCAAUUGCGAAGGCAGCUCGCUAAACUGUAACUGACGCUGAGGCACGAAAGUGUGGGUAGCAAACAGG